CAGCAUUCUCCCACUCUCUCAUCCUCUCAGCAUUCUCACAAUCUCUCUCAUCCACAGACUCUCUCUCAUCCUCAGACUCUCUGUCAUCCUCAGACUCUCUGUCAUCCUCUCGCUGAAGCACAGCGCUCAAAGCAGUAAUAUGGCAGUUCUUCUCUUCAUUGCAACAAUCUGCUUGGGCUACGCAGCAGCAUUCUCAGAGGUACCCGUGGACUGCUGUCUGUCAACCACUGACAUCCGUUUCCCUCGCCACUUUAAGAUGGUCUCCUACCUGCUGCAGACCACAGACAGAGGCUGUGACAUCGAUGCCACUGUGUUUAUCACCAAGACAGGGGUGAGACUGUGCUCGCCCCAUCCCACAGAGAGCAAGUGGGUGGCAGACUACGUGAAACGUCUGGAGCGAACCAUUUCCCUCCGGAGAGCUAACUCACUUCAGGAGUAAAUCAG